rnacentral:lncRNA from 1 species
GGAAACCACAACUAGCCUAUGCAGAAAGGCCACUUGCAGAGGCCACGUGUAGGUAUUUCAGCUAACAAGCCCCGCUAAACUCUCAGCUGACAGCUAGAACCAAUUUGCCAGCCACGUGAAGGAGCUCUCUUAAGGAGCGAAGCUUAAGUCCCAGCCAGACCAUCCUGUCUGACAUUACACAGAGCCGGGGAGUCUUCCUUGCUGAACCCUGCCCAAACUGCAGACCUAGAACAUUUUGGUGAAGGCCAGAAUUAAAAAUGAUGAGAUGUGAGGAGCAGUUAGAAGACAUUGCAUAAAUCCAAGAGGAGAUAAUGGUGAGUUGCACUAUAGUGGUAUAUGAAAAAUAAUAAAAGUAUAAAGAUUUUUCUGCAUGUGGCAAUG